CACGUAGGGUGCGAGCGUUGUCCGGAAUUAUUGGGCGUAAAGAGCUUGUAGGCGGUUUGUCGCGUCUGCUGUGAAAAUCCGGGGCUCAACCCCGGACUUGCAGUGGGUACGGGCAGACUAGAGUGUGGUAGGGGAGACUGGAAUUCCUGGUGUAGCGGUGAAAUGCGCAGAUAUCAGGAGGAACACCGAUGGCGAAGGCAGGUCUCUGGGCCACUACUGACGCUGAGACGCGAAAGCGUGGGGAGCGAACAGG
rnacentral:rRNA from 1 species